rnacentral:rRNA from 1 species
GGGAGCAUGGAGGCAACUCUGAUCCAGCCAUGCCGCGUGCAGGAAGACUGCCCUAUGGGUUGUAAACUGCUUUUAUACAGGAAGAAACCUCCCUACGUGUAGGGGUCUGACGGUACUGUAAGAAUAAGGACGGUUAUCUCCGUGCCAGCAGCCGCGGUAAU